rnacentral:rRNA from 1 species
GACGAACGCUGGCGGCGCGCUUAACACAUGCAAGUCAAGCGAGAACCAGUCCUUCGGGGCUGGGGAAAGCGGCGAACGGGUGAGUAACACGUGAGUAAUCCACCCUCGGUACCGGGAUAGCCCGGGGAAACCCGGAUUAAUACCGGAGGGCCCAUCCGCACUUUGGAGCAGCUGGGAAAGGUAGCUUCGGCCUCCGACCGAGGACGAGCUCGCGGCGGAUUAGAUUGUUGGUGGGGUAAUGGCCCACCAAGGCGACGAUCCGUAGCUGGUCUGAGAGGACGAUCAGCCACACUGGGACUGAGACACGGCCCAGACUCCUACGGGAGGCAGCAGUGGGGAAUCUUGCGCAAUGGGCGAAAGCCUGACGCAGCGACGCCGCGUGCGGGAAGAAGGCCUUCGGGUUGUAAACCGCUUUCAGGAGGGACGAAGCCACUCAGGUUAAUAGCCUAGAGGGUGACGGUACCUCCAGAAGAAGCCCCGGCUGACUUCGUGCCAGCCGCCGCAGUAA